GGUCUCCCCAUGUGAGAGUAGGUCAUCGUCAAGC
rnacentral:rRNA from 1 species